GGGGACAAGGCCUCCGAUCUGGAGGCAGGUGUGGCCCGGGGCAUAGACUUCCACCAUGUGUCUGCUGUGCUCAACUUUGAUCUUCCCCCAACCCCUGAGGCCUACAUCCAUCGAGCUGGCAGGUAGUAGUGUGACGGCCCAGGCAUCUGCAUGGUAGGCACGCUGAGGGACUUGGGGUGUGCUGGACAGAGCCUGCGGGUUGGAGAUGCAAGCUGCACUGUCUUCCCUUGCAGGACAGCACGCGCUAACAACCCAGGCAUAGUCUUAACUUUUGUGCUGCCCACGGAGCAGUUCCACUUAGGCAAGAUUGAGGAGCUUCUCAGUGGAGGUAAGAGCCUGGCUCUUGUGGUCCUGGGCCAGGGUCAGGCUUCUCCCACAAUGCUUU
rnacentral:sRNA from 1 species